UACGUAGGGGGCAAGCGUUGUCCGGAUUUAUUGAGCGUAAAGAGCGUGUAGGCGGCUUUGCAAGUCCGUUGUGAAAACUCGAGGCUCAACCUCGAGACGCCGGUGGAAACUGCAAAGCUAGAGUCCGGAAGAGGAGAGUGGAAUUCCUGGUGUAGCGGUGAAAUGCGCAGAUAUCAGGAAGAACACCCGUGGCGAAGGCGGCUCUCUGGGACGGUACUGACGCUGAGACGCGAAAGCGUGGGGAGCGAACAGG
rnacentral:rRNA from 1 species